GCCAGCAUGGUGUAGUGGUUUGAGAGUUGGACUAUGACUCUGGAGAUCAGGGUUCGAAUCCCAGCUCGGUCA
rnacentral:tRNA from 1 species